AAAUAAAAUCAGCUAAUCCCGCAUCACGAGAAUAGCCAAGUACGACCCUCUUUAGAGCAAUUAUCAAUUCAGUUUCGAAGUAAUCACUAAUCAGACAAUUAAUUAAUUGGUUUUGGUCUUGGUCUUACUACGGUUUAAAAUUGGCUGAGUAGUCUAAUUGGUAAGCAAUUGGUUUGGUUUUGGUUUCACGACUUGAAAACCACCCCCUAUCCCUGAUUUCAAUUUAUUCAGCCACUGAUUCGCUUGGUAGCCGAGCUUUUGCCUUACUCGCGUGCCACUCUCGUGACAACCUCCUUUUCACUUUCCUGCAUUUUCUUUGCUCAGAAUAGACGGGUUUUGCAAAACCAUGAAAAAGAUAGAAGGAUUACUUGCUGCAACACUAACUCCAUUUUAUAAGAAUGGGGAACUAAAUUUAAGUGCAGUAGAUGAAUAUGCUAGACACCUUGAAAAGGAGAACAUUAAAGGAUUAUU